rnacentral:lncRNA from 1 species
AUGGCCGCGCAUCUGCAAUGGAUGGUCGUUCGGAACUGCUCCAGUUUCUUGAUCAAGAGAAAUAAGUAGAUGCCCAGCACCGAGCCCCAGUAAUCUGAAGGCCUGCAGCUCCUUCCGAUACAACGGGCUAAUUCACCUAAAGACUGUGGGAGUGGAGCCUGCGGCUGAUGACAAAGGGGUCGUGGUGGUUAUGAAAUGCAGAUCCGGUCAGCGAAAACCUGCCACUUCUUACGUGAGGACUGUGCCACUUCUUACGUGAGGACCGCCAUCAGCUAGAGUGCUUGGGCUACCCUCAGCAGCGUCUGACACAUGACCCAAGAGAAUAAAUGCUGCCCUGAUCCUUGCGUGGCGGCCAUUCGCAGGGCCAGUGCCAUCCUUUGAAGCCAGAAACCUGUGGUGGUGAAGAGGAAAUGGACCCGCCCCAUCAAGACA